rnacentral:sRNA from 1 species
AUAUCUCUCUGUACGGGAAGGAUGAGAAGCUUCGACUAAGGUUCGAUUCGAGCGCAGCGAGAACGCGUUGCCGCAGGCAACGACC